AGACAAGAAAGGGAAAGAAGUUCACUGCUUACAUCACAAUGGAGUCUAGAACACCCAUGAGACUAGGUAGGAAGAUGGUGCCGGCUCAUCCCUCCCAGCACAACAGAAGAAAAGGCUAAGGAAACAGCAGCAAAGAGCAGAUAGCAGCCCUCACACCCUUCCCACACAACCUUGUUCUAUUUGAUAGGAGCCUAGCAUGGCGACUCACUGAGAGGCUUUACCCAGCAGCUGACUGAGACAGAUACAGAUACCCACAGACAAACAUUGGAUGGAGGUCAGGGAACCCUGUGAAAGAGUUAUGGGAAGAAUUGAAGGCCCUCAAGGAGAUGGCAACCCUACAGGAAGACCAACAGUGUCAACUAACCUGGACCCCUGGGAGCUCCGAGAGACUGAGCCAGGAACCAGAGAGUAUGUGUGGGCUGGUCUGAGACCCCUGCACAUAUGCAGCAGAGUGUUGCCUUGUUUGGCCUUAGUGGGAAAGGACAUACCUAAUCCUGCAGAGACUUGAUGCACCAUAGUGGGGGAAUACCAGCAUUAUCCUAAAACCGCAGGAAGGGGAUGAAAGAGAGCCAAGGAUCGACAUGACAGG
ensembl:lncRNA